rnacentral:lncRNA from 1 species
UGAAGGCCAAAAACAGGAGGCAAAAGCAAGAUGCAUUUGCAGAGAGAAUAAAGAAAGAAUUGUAGAUAUAGGUCAGGAGGAGAGGCUUGUAAUGGUAUAGGGUGGAAAUGAAGGAAGGUGGAAAACUCGGUUUGUGUUGAUAUAGAGAUUGAAUUACUGAUGCUUUUGCAACGAGGAGAAAUGUGAGAGUGAAAGGAAGGGUGAAGAUUGAAGAAGUGAUUGUUUGAGAAACCUUAAGGUUGAGAAUGGCAAACAACUUUGAUGAGGAAGGAAAGCCAGCAGCAUCAAAGAGAGACUUUAGGUGACUGUGUAUUUGAGGCAAGAGGGAUGAAGAGGCUGGAACUAAAGCCUGUGAUAGGAGUAUUGAUACUGAGAAAGGAAGAG